rnacentral:tRNA from 1 species
GGCAACCUGGCCGAGCGGUCUAAGGCGCCAGGUUAAGGCAUCCUGGUCUCUUCGGAGGCGAGAGUUCGAAUCUCUCGGUUGUCA